GCAAGAUUAAAACUCAAAGGAAUAGACGGGGACCCGCACAAGUGGUGGAGCAUGUGGUUUAAUUCGAAGAUACGCGAAGAACCUUACCUAGCCUUGACAUUGAUUGAAUUUUCCAGAGAUGGAGAAGUGCCUUUCGGGGAACAUGAAAACAGGUGCUGCACGGCUGUCGUCAGCUCGUGUCGUGAGAUGUUGGGUUAAGUCCCGCAACGAGCGCAACCCUCGUCCUUAGUUGCCAGCAGGUUAAGCUGGGCACUUUAAGGAGACUGCCUUCGCAAGGAGGAGGAAGGUGAGGACGACGUCAAGUCAUCAUGGCCCUUAUGGCUAGGGCUACACACGUGCUACAAUGGGGCGUACAGAGAGUUGCGAUACCGCGAGGUGGAGCCAAUCUCACAAAGCGUCUCUCAGUUCGGAUUGAAGUCUGCAACUCGACUUCAUGAAGCUGGAAUCACUAGUAAUCGUAGAUCAGCAAUGCUACGGUGAAUACGUUCCCGGGUCUUGUACUCACCGCCCGUCACACCAUGGGAGUUGAUUUCACCCGAAAUUGGGAAGCUAACCUUCGGGAGGCUACCACUUACGGUGGAAUUAGCGACUGGGGUGAAGUCGUAACAAGGUA
rnacentral:rRNA from 1 species